rnacentral:rRNA from 1 species
UACAGAGGGUGCAAGCGUUAUUCGGAAUUAUUGGGCGUAAAGGGCGCGUAGGCGGCCUGGCAAGUGGAAGGUGAAAUCCCUCGGCUUAACCGAGGAACUGCCCUCCAAACUGCUUGGCUUGAGUCCGGGAGAGGUGAGUGGAAUUCCCAGUGUAGCGGUGAAAUGCGUAGAUAUUGGGAGGAACACCAGUGGCGAAGGCGGCUCACUGGACCGGAACUGACGCUGAGGCGCGAAAGCGUGGGGAGCAAACGGG